AAAUAUGAUUUCGAGUAUUUGAAACUUCUAGAAAAUAAAUUUCGCAAUUUUUCGAAAUCAUAAUAAAGUUCAUCAAGCUGGUAUAAAAUGAACGGUCAAAAUAAAACGACGUCUUAAAAAUGGAUGAUCGGAUCCUUCAAUUUAAGAUCGGAGUUAUUAAUCUUUAUCUAUAUAGUGAAUAGAAGUUUCUAUCAAAAUUUCAACCAAUUUCUAUUCUUUUACACCGUUAAACUAGCAAAUAUUUCAUACCGGCCGUUAAAAAUUAUCAAUUUUGUGACCUUUUGAUCAUAAGGUAAUAAUGUCAAAAAAUUAUAAAAUUUGAUUUCUUGACAUUUUAAAUGCUCUAAAUAUUGUUUAACAGUGUGGAUCGUCGAUUUGGAAGCUCUAUCAUCGAAAACAACUUAUGAGUACGAGGGCGAUCAUACUCAUAAAAGUAUAGUAGCCGGACUCUAUAUAUAUAUAUAGAGUUGGGCUGGAAUACUAUUAAUAGCAAAACGUCCUUUUUUGCUAUUAAGUUUUUAACCCUUAAAUGAAAAAUUAUAGGGUUAGGAUGAUAUUAGUCCCUUAGGGUUGAGUGGUCCUCACUGGUUAUAAUAUUUAAUCUAAUGGUUAAAAAUGAUGAAAGAAAUUGAUAUAAAGACUAAAAACUUGAUAGUAAAAAGGGCCUUUUGCUAUCAAUAGUAUUUUAGCCCAACUCUCUCUCUCUCUCUCUCUCUCUCUCUCUCUCUCUCUAUAUAUAUAUAUAUAUAUAUAUAUAUAUAGAGUCCGGCUGGGAUACUGUCGAUAGCACCAAGCGUUUGGUGCUCUCAAGUUUUCCGCCGUUAGAUUUAACCUAUUAACUAUUUUCACCCGUUAGAUUCUAUUAUUAAACCAAUAAUUCACUCGGUCCUUAAUGUUAUGACAUUAGUGACAUAGAAUCCUUAAGGUUGAGGAUUAGAUCAUACUCACAGGUAAUCUGAUAUGCUUGAGGGUGAUCGCUCCACCUCAAGCGGUGAGCUCCGGAGUUGUCAUCAGCUGGGCGGUAGCGGAAUUCUCCCCCAUAGUUAGUUAAUUCGGAUUCGGCAAAAAUUCGGUACGGGUAUAAUACGCAUAAAAUUCGUUUUUUAAUUUUUAAAUUCGUUGAAAAUUUUGGCUUAAAAAAUAGAUUCGGUAUAAAAUAUAAAAUAUAAGAUAAUCUAUAUUUAAAUAUAAAAACUAUAUGUUUUUUAUUCACAUUUUCAAUAAUUCGGGAAUAAUUCGGAAACAAUUCGCGAAUAAUUCGGCUGGCCCAAAAAUUCGCAAAUAAUUCUCUAUCUUUGGAAAAAAUUCGUAAAUGGACCGUUUAAUUCGGAUUUUCAAUAAUUCGUGAAUAAUUCGCGAAUUAACUAACAUAGUUCU
rnacentral:lncRNA from 1 species